rnacentral:piRNA from 2 species
UGAGUUCAAAUCCUGUACAAGCAAAGCUC